AUGGAGUGUUCUCGGACUCGUGUUGCUGCUUGGCCGGACGCAGCUGGUUCGCCUCAAAUCUCGACCCAGGGGUGGACCUUGCUGGACGCUGUUGGACCUCGCGUGCACGAGUCUCGUUUUGGGGUCGGCUGUUCUGGCUACUUUGAACGGGUACUACCAGCUGAGCGAAAACGAACCUACCGAUUUCGUAAAAAAAUCCACUCUCAAGGACAUCUCGGCUGAGUUCGCCAUGGCAGUUUCUCUCGUCGUCUUAACAAUCCUGUCUUGGAGCCGGA